CAGCCGCCGCUUCCAAUUGGAGUGCCGUGCGUAACCUGGUCAGCCUAUGGAACUCGGUGCUGAAGCAGAAGGCGGGCCUCUCAGAAAUAGGAAGUAUUCGCAAGUCUCAGUAUUGUGCCAGGCAAAGGGCUCGUAGCCUCUGGAAAAAGGGAAGCACGAGCCGUGAACAGAGUCACGGCGCGGAGGAAUGAGCUUGCUAAGCCAUGUUUCCACCAAAAAUAUAGCAUUAAAAAGCAGCUCUGGCCGAAAGUAUGGAGUUUCUGGAAUUCAGUAAAUCCUGGUGAAAUAGUAAGACCCUUGGAUUCACAUAAAGACUCUUCCAUCCUCACUACAGAAGAUGAAGGGCCUGGCCAAAUCAACAGGAAAAUGCAGCUCUAAGAGAUCAUAUUACCAGAGGAACCCUGCCGACUUCUCCCCACUCAUCCCUCCCCACGAGAUCAGAGUUUCUACCCUGCUCUGACUGACAGAAUAUGCAGGGCGUCUGGAGCCUGCGCAUCUCAGUUCAGACGAGCCACGUUUCAACAGCCACGUGUGCUUUGUGGCUACCAAGCCCGACAACAGAGGCAUAGAAGAUUCUGACAUUCUGGCUUUACUUGGAAACAUCAAAGGAUUUUGUACAAUUGUACCUGGGGUGUGUGAGAGGGUGGGGUGUUUUGGUUUUCUUUCCUUUUAAG